UACAGAGGUCUCGAGCGUUGUUCGGAUUCAUUGGGCGUAAAGGGUGCGUAGGUGGUGAUGCAAGUCUGGUGUGAAAUCUCGGAGCUCAACUCCGAAAUUGCACCGGAUACUGCGUGACUCGAGGACUGUAGAGGAGAUCGGAAUUCACGGUGUAGCAGUGAAAUGCGUAGAUAUCGUGAGGAAGACCAGUUGCGAAGGCGGAUCUCUGGGCAGUUCCUGACACUGAGGCACGAAGGCCAGGGGAGCAAACGGG
rnacentral:rRNA from 1 species